UGGGGAAUAUUGGACAAUGGAGGCAACUCUGAUCCAGCCAUGCCGCGUGAAUGACGAAGGCCUUCGGGUUGUAAAGUUCUUUUAGUUGGGAAAAUAAUGAUGGUACCCGCAGAAAAAGCUCCGGCUAACUUCGUGCCAGCAGCCGCGGUAAUACGAAGGGGGCUAGCGUUGUUCGGAAUUACUGGGCGUAAAGCGUUUGUAGGCGGUUAUACAAGUCAGUGGUGAAAGCCCAAGGCUCAACCUUGGAAUUGCCAUUGAAACUGUAUAGCUAGAGAAUGUUAGAGGAAAGUGGAAUUCCUAGUGUAGGAGUGAAAUCCGUAGAGAUUAGGAAGAAUAUCGAUGGCGAAGGCAGCUUUCUGGGACAUUUCUGACGCUGAGAAACGAAAGCGUGGGUAGCAAACA
rnacentral:rRNA from 1 species